rnacentral:tRNA from 1 species
GGGUUGUGGCUCAGUGGUAUAGUGCUUGCCUCAAACGUAUGAGGCACUGGGUUCAAUUCUUAGCACAACUUA